rnacentral:rRNA from 1 species
CGGAUUAGCGGCGGACGGGUGAGUAACACGUGAGUAACCUGCCUUAGACAUUGGGAUAGCCUCGGGAAACCGGGAUUAAUACCAAAUAAAAUCAUAAUGACACAUGUCAUAACGAUCAAAACUCCGGUGGUCUAAGAUGGACUCGCGUCCCAUUAGCUAGUUGGUAUAGUAAAAGCCUACCAAGGCGACGAUGGGUAGCCGGCCUGAGAGGGUGAACGGCCACAUUAGAACUGAGAAACGGUCCAA